GCUCAGGAUGAACGCUAGCUACAGGCUUAACACAUGCAAGUCGAGGGGUAGCAGGGUAGCAAUACCGCUGACGACCGGCGCACGGGUGAGUAACACGUAUCCAACCUUCCCAUAACUCGGGGAUAGCCUUUCGAAAGAAAGAUUAAUACCCGAUAGUACUUAAGAAAGGCAUCUUUUUUAAGUUAAAGAUUUAUUGGUUAUGGAUGGGGAUGCGUUCCAUUAGAUAGUUGGUGAGGUAACGGCUCACCAAGUCUUCGAUGGAUAGGGGUUCUGAGAGGAAGGUCCCCCACAUUGGUACUGAGACACGGACCAAACUCCUACGGGAGGCAGCAGUGAGGAAUAUUGGUCAAUGGGCG
rnacentral:rRNA from 1 species